GAGUAACGCGUGAGAAUCUGGCUUCAGGUCGGGGACAACCACUGGAAACGGUGGCUAAUACCGGAUAUGCCGAGAGGUGAAAGAUUAAUUGCCUGAAGAUGARCUCGCGUCUGAUUAGCUAGUUGGGAGUGUAAGARACUACCAAGGCGACGAUCAGUAGCUGGUCUGARAGGAUGAUCAGCCACACUGGGACUGARACACGGCCCAGACUCCUACGGGAGGCAGCAGUGGGGAAUUUUCCGCAAUGGGCGAAAGCCUGACGGARCAAUACCGCGUGAGGGAGGAAGGCUCUUGGGUUGUAAACCUCUUUUCUCAAGGAAGAAAAAAAUGACGGUACUUGAGGAAUAAGCAUCGGCUAACUCCGUGCCAGCAGCCGCGGUAAUACGGARGAUGCAAGCGUUAUCCGGAAUGAUUGGGCGUAAAGCGUCCGCAGGUGGCUGUGAAAGUCUGCUGUUAAAGAAUGAGGCUCAACCUCAUCAGARCAGUGGAAACUACACGGCUAGAGUGCGUUCGGGGUAGARGGAAUUCCUGGUGUARCGGUGAAAUGCGUAGAUAUCAGGAAGAACACCGGUGGCGAAGGCGCUCUACUARGCCGCAACUGACACUGAGGGACGAAAGCUAGGGGARCGAAUGGGAUUA
rnacentral:rRNA from 1 species